AACGAACGCUGGCGGCAUGCCUAACACAUGCAAGUCGAACGAGACCUUCGGGUAUAGUGGCGCACGGGUGCGUAACGCGUGGGAACCUGCCCUUAGGUUCGGAAUAACUCCCCGAAAGGGGUGCUAAUACCGGAUAAUGUCUUCGGACCAAAGAUUUAUCGCCUUUGGAUGGGCCCGCGUUGGAUUAGCUAGUUGGUAGGGUAAAAGCCUACCAAGGCGACGAUCCAUAGCUGGUCUGAGAGGAUGAUCAGCCACACUGGGACUGAGACACGGCCCAGACUCUUACGGGAGGCAGCAGUGGGGAAUAUUGGACAAUGGGCGAAAGCCUGAUCCAGCAAGGCCGCGUGAGUGAUGAAGGCCUUAGGGUUGUAAAGCUCUUUUACCCGGGAUGAUAAUGACAGUACCGGGAGAAUAAGCUCCGGCUAACUCCGUG
rnacentral:rRNA from 1 species